rnacentral:rRNA from 1 species
CGCGUGUGUGAAGAAGGCCUUCGGGUUGUAAAGCACUUUUGUCAGGAACGAAACGGUGAGGGCUAAUAUCCCUUGCUAAUGACGGUACCUGAAGAAUAAGCACCGGCCUAACAUACGUGCCAGCAGCCGCGGUAAUACGUAGGGUGCAAGCGUGAAUCGGAAUUACUGGGCGUAAAGCGUGCGCAGGCGGUUGUGCAAGACAGAUGUGAAAUCCCCGGGCUUAACCUGGGAAUGGCAUUUGUGACUGCACGGCUAGAGUGUGUCAGAGGGGGGUAGAAUUCCACGUGUAGCAGUGAAAUGCGUAGAUAUGUGGAGGAAUACCGAUGGCGAAGGCAGGCCCCUGGGAUAACACUGACGCUCAUGCACGAAAGCGUGGGGAGCAAACAGGAUUAGAUACCCUGGUAGUCCACGCCCUAAACGAUGUCAACUAGUUGUCGGGUCUUAAUUGACUUGGUAACGCAGCUAACGCGUGAAGUUGAACGCCUGGGGAGUACGGUCGUAAGAUUAAAACUCAAAGGAAUUGACGGGGAACCGCACAAGCGGUGGAU